CCCUGUGGGACAAGCACACACAAUCGAGCCUGCAGAAAGCAGCAGCACCUGAGCCCCAAAAUGGUGUGAGAACUGUGACUGCUACACACAAGGGGAAAUACUUUGCUGCCAGUUGGAUAAGUCCCAAGAGGAAGGGGAUGCUAAAGCAAGGAGAGAAAGAGUGGUGCACAAGCAGGAACUAAUAAAUCUCCCCAGCCCUGGGAUGCAGGCAGAGUGCCAGCAGCCCCUGCUAGGUGACUUGACCAAGGCUGUGCAGAACGUACCUGGUGGCACCGCUCCAUGCUCAGAUUGCACUUCUGAACUCUCCGUGGCUGCUGACAGCUGGAUCAGGCCACAAUAAUUACUUUGCUGUCUUGGUAAUUUAUUAUUAUGUCCCACAGUACUAAAGCUUUUCUACAGAUAACCUUUCUGCUCCUUUUUGGGCCUCUCUGAAGAAAACUAACGACCACUGACACAGCCUGUUCAUCACAUCUGAUGGUUCAGCCCACAGAGAUGAAUUAAGUUAAUAUCAGAGAGGCUGCGAAGAUAUGCUCUUCUUUCAUCACACACAAUAAAAAAUAAGAGCCCAGAGACUUAAACGCAGGUGAAGAGAGAGAUGGCCGCACACACACAGCCUUGCGGGUUGCCUUUGCUCCCGAUGUUUCUCAGGCUGCCGACAGUCCUGGCCACGCGGUGCGGGGAGCCCAGAGCCACCAUGCGCAGCAAGGAGCUGGCAGCACCGCGCCCACCCGCUGCAGACACCGCGCCACACGCUGCCCCCACAGCCAGCCACGAAGCUCAGCAGCUCAGGGAGCAAGAUACUCACUAAAUGGAAGUACUUCUCAGUGUCCAGAUCCUUCACUGCGAAGAACAAGAGAGACAGCAGCUUAGCCUGGGGGCCCAGACCGAAACCUGCCUGCACACACUGUGUCAGGACCUGUGCUUGCUUUCCACAAGAGGUCCAGACGCCCAGCUGGUGUUUCAGCACUUUUCUUGGUUUUGGCAGUGUUUAUUUACUGCCUUCUUGGGGGGCAGGCGAGAACCUCAGGAAGCACUUUAAGGGGUGCUUUAAGUCUCCCAGGGGGUGUUGCAGGAGGACCCUAAGAGGGUGUGAGCAGGAUUAGCACAGGGCCUCUCCUGCAUGCCGCCCCUGUGCCGGGUGCCCACAUGCCACGAUGGCCUGCUAUGGCUCCCAGCAUUUGUCCCCAGGCAGCCACAGCCUGGCCGCCUGUCCUCAGGCUAACAGGCAAAGGGAAUCCCACAGAGACGGACUGUGUGCAGAUGGCCUAAGAGACGGAGUGGUUGAAAUUCUUUUUCUAAUGCGAAUUUUUGUCUCUUUCUGCCUGUUUUGACUUUCUGUGCAGCCUGAAACAUAGGUGUAUGCUGGCAAUAAACUGAGCAUGGGAGAGAAA